UACGUAGGGUGCAAGCGUUAAUCGGAAUUACUGGGCGUAAAGCGUGCGCAGGCGGUGAUGUAAGACAGAUGUGAAAUCCCGGCUCAACCUGGAACUGCAUUUGUGACUGCAUCGCUGGAGUACGGCAGAGGGAUGGAAUUCCGGCGUGUAGCAGUGAAUGCGUAGAUAUGCGGAGGAACACCGAUGGCGAAGGCAGAUCUCUGGCCGUAACUGACGCUGGAGGAGCGAAGCAUGGGAGCGAACAGG
rnacentral:rRNA from 1 species